AUGGAGAUGCGUCUCCACCUCCAUGUGCUGGCGAUCCUCGUGAUCAUCUCGGCGCGGCCUCCCUCCGUCGCUGGCGGGCUCUGCCGCGACAGCUGCGGCGACGUCCCGGUGCGCUACCCGCUGGGCAUCGACGACGGCUGCGGCAGCCCGUACUACCGCAGCAUGCUGACCUGCGCCGACAACACCACGCUCCGCCUCCGCACCCCAUCCGGCACGUACCCGGUGUCCGGCGCCGACUACGCGGACCCGCACCUGGUGGUGACGGACCCGUCCAUGUGGACCUGCGCGCGGCCCUUCACCGCCGUCCACGCCGCGCCCUUCAGCCUGGACACCAGCACCCGCUUCUCGCUGUCCCCGAGGAACGACCACCUCUUCUUCAACUGCGACGAGGAGCGGGUCAUCGUGGCGCCGCGGCCGGCCAUCUGCGACCGGUACCCGGACCGGUGCGACUCGGCGUGCGACAGCGCCGGGUACCUGUGCCGGAACCUGCCGGGCUGCCGCGGCGCGCUGGAGGAAGGCAACAUGAGCUGCUGCGCGUACCGGCCCCGCGCGGCGGAGUCGCUGAGGGCCAUGCUGCGGCACUGCGAGGCCUACACCACCGUGUACUGGCGCGCGGUGGGCGACAAGUUCCCGCCCUACGACCAGGUGCCGGACUACGGCGUCCGGGUGGACUUCGAGAUCCCCGUCACCACGCGGUGCCUGCAGUGCCAGGACCGGCGCCGCGGCGCCAACGGCACCUGCGGCUUCGACCCCGCCACCAGGGACUUCGUCUGCAUCUGCGACGGCGGCCGGAACUCCACCACGGACUGUGCAGAUGGCCGCGUCACAGGGCAUGGAGCAUCAGCCGGAGUUGUAGCUGCAACCGUCGUGUUCUCAAUUUCGGCAGCGAUCGGCAUCGGGGGGCUCGUGAUGUACAUACGCAAGAUGAGAUCGAGCAAAGUGGUCACCUGCGGCGUCCAGAGUAACGAAAACAGAUUCUUCUGA
rnacentral:rRNA from 1 species